rnacentral:rRNA from 1 species
UACGUAGGGUGCGAGCGUUAAUCGGAAUUACUGGGCGUAAAGCGUGCGCAGGCGGUGAUGUAAGACAGGUGUGAAAUCCCCGGGCUUAACCUGGGAACUGCAUUUGUGACUGCAUCGCUGGAGUGCGGCAGAGGGGGAUGGAAUUCCGCGUGUAGCAGUGAAAUGCGUAGAUAUGCGGAGGAACACCGAUGGCGAAGGCGGCUCACUGGCCCGAUACUGACGCUGAGGCGCGAAAGCGUGGGGAGCAAACAGG